GGAGGGCGGCUCUAUAAUGCAGUCGAACGAACUCUGGUAUUGAUUGGUGCUUGCAUCAUGAUUUACAUUUGAGUGAGUGGCGAACUGGUGAGUAACACGUGGGAAACCUGCCCAGAAGCGGGGGAUAACACCUGGAAACAGAUGCUAAUACCGCAUAACAACUUGGACCGCAUGGUCCGAGUUUGAAAGAUGGCUUCGGCUAUCACUUUUGGAUGGUCCCGCGGCGUAUUAGCUAGAUGGUGGGGUAACGGCUCACCAUGGCAAUGAUACGUAGCCGACCUGAGAGGGUAAUCGGCCACAUUGGGACUGAGACACGGCCCAAACUCCUACGGGAGGCAGCAGUAGGGAAUCUUCCACAAUGGACGAAAGUCUGAUGGAGCAACGCCGCGUGAGUGAAGAAGGGUUUCGGCUCGUAAAACUCUGUUGUUAAAGAAGAACAUAUCUGAGAGUAACUGUUCAGGUAUUGACGGUAUUUAACCAGAAAGCCACGGCUAACUACGUGCCAGCAGCCGCGGUAAUACGUAGGUGGCAAGCGUUGUCCGGAUUUAUUGGGCGUAAAGCGAGCGCAGGCGGUUUUUUAAGUCUGAUGUGAAAGCCUUCGGCUCAACCGAAGAAGUGCAUCGGAAACUGGGAAACUUGAGUGCAGAAGAGGACAGUGGAACUCCAUGUGUAGCGGUGAAAUGCGUAGAUAUAUGGAAGAACACCAGUGGCGAAGGCGGCUGUCUGGUCUGUAACUGACGCUGAGGCUCGAAAGUAUGGGUAGCAAACAGGAUUAGAUACCCUGGUAGUCCAUACCGUAAACGAUGAAUGCUAAGUGUUGGAGGGUUUCCGCCCUUCAGUGCUGCAGCUAACGCAUUAAGCAUUCCGCCUGGGGAGUACGGCCGCAAAGGCUGAAACUCAAAGGAAUUGACAGGGGCCCGCACAAGCGGUGGAGCAUGUGGUUUAAUUCGAAGCUACGCGAAGAACCUUACCAGUCUUGACAUACUAUGCAAAUCUAAGAGAUUAGACGUUCCCUUCGGGACAUGGAUACAGGGGGUGCAUGGUUGUCGUCAGCUCGUGUCGUGAG
rnacentral:rRNA from 1 species